GGGCGUGUAGCCUCAGUUGGCCAGAGCGCUUCCCCCUUACAAGGAAGAAGUCGGGGGGUUCGAGACCCUCCACGCCCACCA
rnacentral:tRNA from 1 species